UUACACCACUAGCGAAAGUCGAACGGGUAAACAGGUUAAGGACGUGACGGAGUAGGGCGAACGGGUAGGAGGUAAUGUAUCGGAACGUAGGCCCAGUCGUCGGGGGAGUAACUAGCUCGAAAGAGCAGCUAAUACCGCAUACGACCUGAGGGUGAAAGCGGGGGAGUCGCAAGACCUCGCGCGAUUGGAGCGGCCGAUAUCAGAUUAGGUAGUUGGUGAGGUAAAGGCUCACCAAGCCGACGAUCUGUAGCUGGUCUGAGAGGACGACCAGCCACACUGGGACUGAGACACGGCCCAGACUCCUACGGGAGGCAGCAGUGGGGAAUUUUGGGCAAUGGGCGCAAGCCUGAUCCAGCCAUGCCGCGUGCGGGAAGAAGGCCUUCGGGUUGUAAACCGCUUUUGUCAGGGAAGAAAAGGUUCUGGCUAAUACCUGGGACUCAUGACGGUACCUGAAGAAUAAGCACCGGCUAACUACGUG
rnacentral:rRNA from 1 species